rnacentral:tRNA from 1 species
GCGGAACUGGCGGAAUUGGUAGACGCGCAUGACUCAGAAUCAUGUGGAUAAAACCUUCCGGGUUCAAGUCCCGGGUUCCGCA